ACUCAGGAACAGGUUAAUGUUAGUGGAUUACUCAGGAACAGGUUAAUGUUAAAGUGGAUUACUCAGGAACAGGUUAAUGUUAAAGUGGAUUACUCAGGAACAGGUUAAUGUUAGUGGAUUACUCAGGAACAGGUUAAUGUUAGUCUAUUACUCAGGAACAGGUUAAUGUUAGUCUAUUACUCAGGAACAGGUUAAUGUUAGUGGAUUACUCAGGAACAGGUUAAUGUUAGUGUAUUACUCAGGAACAGGUUAAUGUUAGUCUAUUACUCAGGAACAGGUUAAUGUUAGUGGAUUACUCAGGAACAGGUUAAUGUUAAAGUGGAUUACUCAGGAACAGGUUAAUGUUAGUAUUUCUCAGGAACAGGUUAAUGUUAGUGGAUUACUCAGGAACAGGUUAAUGUUAGUGGAUUACUCAGGAACAGGUUAAUGUUAGUGGAUUACUCAGGAACAGGUUAAUGUUAGGUGGAUUACUCAGGAACAGGUUAAUGUUAGUGGAUUACUCAGGAACAGGUUAAUGUUAGUGGAUUACUCAGGAACAGGUUAAUGUUAGUGGAUUACUCAGGAACAGGUUAAUGUUAGUGGAUUACUCAGGAACAGGUUCAUGUUAGUGGAUUACUCA
ensembl:lncRNA